rnacentral:rRNA from 1 species
GGCUCAGUAACACGUGGACAACCUACCCUUAGGACCGGGAUAACCCCGGGAAACUGGGGACAAUCCCGGAUAGGUGAAGUGGCCUGGAAUGGUACUUCACUGAAAGGCUCUUCGGAGCGCCUAAGGAUGGGUCUGCGGCCGAUUAGGUAGUUGGUAGGGUAACGGCCUACCAAGCCGAUAAUCGGUACGGGUUGUGAGAGCAAGAGCCCGGAGAUGGAACCUGAGACAAGGUUCCAGGCCUUACGGGGCGCAGCAGGCGCGAAACCUCCGCAAUGCACGCAAGUGCGACGGGGGGACCCCAAGUGCCACUCUUAACGGGGUGGCUUUUCAGGAGUGUAAAAAGCUCCUGGAAUAAGGGCUGGGCAAGACCGGUGCCAGCCGCCGCGGUAACACCGGCAGCUCGAGUGGUAGCCGCGUUUAUUGGGCCUAAAGCGUCCGUAGCCGGUCCGAUAAGUCUCUGGUGAAAGCCCACAGCUCAACUGUGGGAAUCGCUGGAGAUACUAUCGGACUUGAGGCCGGGAGAGGCUGGAGGUACUCCCAGGGUAGGGGUGAAAUCCUAUAAUCCUGGGAGGACCACCUGUGGCGAAGGCGUCCAGCUGGAACGGACCUGACGGUGAGGGACGAAAGCCAGGGGCGCGAACCGGAUUAGAUACCCGGGUAGUCCUGGCCGUAAACGAUGCGGACUUGGUGUUGGGAUGGCUUUGAGCUGUCCCAGUGCCGAAGGGAAGCUGUUAAGUCCGCCGCCUGGGAAGUACGGCCGCAAGGCUGAAACUUAAAGGAAUUGGCGGGGGAG